UGAGGAAUAUUGGUCAAUGGGCGCAAGCCUGAACCAGCCAUGUCGCGUGCAGGAAGACUGCCCUAUGGGUUGUAAACUGCUUUUAUAGUAGAAGAAACACAUCUACGUGUAGAUGUCUGCCAGUAUACUAUGAAUAAGCAUCGGCUAACUCCGUG
rnacentral:rRNA from 1 species